rnacentral:rRNA from 1 species
ACUCAAAUGAAUUGACGGGGGCCCGCACAAGCGGCGGAGCAUGCGGAUUAAUUCGAUGCAACGCGAAGAACCUUACCAAGGCUUGACAUAUACCUGAAAAGGCUGGAAACAGUCUCCCCGCAAGGCAGGUAUACAGGUGGUGCAUGGUUGUCGUCAGCUCGUGUCGUGAGAUGUUGGGUUAAGUCCCGCAACGAGCGCAACCCUCGUUCUAUGUUGCCAGCGGGUUAUGCCGGGAACUCAUAGGAGACUGCCGGGGUCAACUCGGAGGAAGGUGGGGAUGACGUCAAAUCAUCAUGCCCCUUAUGUCUUGGGCUUCACGCAUGCUACAAUGGCCGGUACAAAGGGCUGCAAUACCGUAAGGUGGAGCGAAUCCCAAAAAGCCGGUCUCAGUUCGGAUUGAGGUCUGCAACUCGACCUCAUGAAGUCGGAGUCGCUAGUAAUCGCAGAUCAGCAACGCUGCGGUGAAUACGUUCUCGGGCCUUGUACACACCGCCCGU